AGCAGUCGCCGCGGUAAUACAGAGGGUGCGAGCGUUAAUCGGAUUUACUGGGCGUAAAGCGUGCGUAGGCGGCGUCUUAAGUCGGAUGUGAAAUCCCUGAGCUUAACUUAGGAAUUGCAUUCGAUACUGGGAAGCUAGAGUAUGGGAGAGGAUGGUAGAAUUCCAGGUGUAGCGGUGAAAUGCGUAGAGAUCUGGAGGAAUACCGAUGGCGAAGGCAGCCAUCUGGCCUAAUACUGACGCUGAGGUACGAAAGCAUGGGGAGCAAACAGGAUUAGAUACCCCUGUAGUCCCUGUCUCUUAUAC
rnacentral:rRNA from 1 species